rnacentral:lncRNA from 1 species
GAGUACAAAGCAUGUCGUCCUCCUCCUGCCAGUCCCUAAUGGGAUCAUGGGAAUCGGCGGCGGCUGAGGUUGUCAGGCGGCGGUCUGUUGGAGCCGAGGCAGUCUACGGAGGGCGAUGCAGGGCAGCCGGAUCCAGCCAGCUGGUGUCGGAUCCAGGCACAGGUAGCGGCGGAGCGCGGCAACGGGGACAACAUUGGGGUCCUGGGCAUCCAUGGUGGCGGGGCUGACCUACAGGAUAGAGGGCUAGCUAGACGUUAGGGAGAGGAAGAGAGGGGUAAGAAGGAUAGGAUGGAAGAGGGCGACCGGCUUUACGGCACGGUGGUUCGGUG